UACGUAGGUGGCAAGCGUUGUCCGGAUUUAUUGGGUUUAAAGGGUGCGUAGGCGGCCUUGUAAGUCAGUAGUGAAAUACCCCGGCUUAACCGGGGGGGUGCUAUUGAUACUGCAGGGCUUGAGUACAGAUGAGGUAGGCGGAAUUGACGGUGUAGCGGUGAAAUGCAUAGAUAUCGUCAAGAACACCGAUAGCGAAGGCAGCUUACUGGGCUGUAACUGACGCUGAGGCACGAAAGUGUGGGGAUCAAACAGG
rnacentral:rRNA from 1 species